rnacentral:lncRNA from 1 species
GUUCUUUGAACGCGCAAGCCAGUGAAUCGGCCAACGAAAUCCGACCAUCUCAACCAUGCCAAAAACCAACCAUUUAAUUGCGCUUCAUGGGCUACUGGAAGUAUGGUGAGAUUUGAUGUGAGAGGUGGACUCUGGAUAAGGGGACGGGUCAGCAGGAUUGUACCAUGUUAUGACAAGUGUCUGUAUGACAGUACCCUUUUAAUGAUUAUUGAUGGGUUGGCCCGAGCUCGGGCUAAGGUAAAUUCUUUGUCAUCUAGAUUGAGGUUGGUGCAUCACUAAUCAUUAUUAUAAGAUGCAUCCUAGUAUCGAUUAUUGCUGGAGGUCUUUGUCAUCUAGAUUUAGGUGGGUGCAUCACUGAUCAUUAUAAGAUGCAUUUCUAUAGAAGGUUGUGGUGAUCAUUUUAGGUUACAGGUUUAGUUUUUGUGGGAUGGGAAGUUUGAAAAAUGAGAACUACAAAAUUGCCUCUCCUUCAAACCUAAAGUUAGAUUAGUUUCCAGUGGCAUUUUAAUAGUUUAUUGUAAUAUAUUUGGUGAAUGCUAGUACAUGUUGACACGAGAGUACAUCUCCACACUUAUUUAGCAUUUUAGAAGGCUGUGAUAUAUAGCGACCCCUAUUACGUGGCCUUAUAAUAGAAACAUUGACAUAGGAAGAUUAAGCUUAAUAGAACUUAUUAACAAUGGACAUCAAUAAUUGCAGAUUAAGCUUAAAAGAACAACUGUGCAAAAGUUGACUUUAAGUUGAAAAACAAUGGUUGCAUACUUGGAGUUGGAGGGAGUAGGGACACUUAGCUGACCAAAUUUUGAAUCUUUGGCUAGCUCUAUUAUUUCACAUUAAAGCACACCGCGAAUGUUUCAAGUUUCAACUUUACAGGAAUGUUCUGGUGGAGAGAAAAGGGAUUGUGUUUGAACUUGGCUGUUAGUUUAGGAUCCGUAGGUGGUAAUGUAACAUAUUGUAUAUAAGUUAACUUGUAAAUAAAUAGAAACUUAAAAUUUUUGGCUAAAACAUGGCAUUUUCCUUUACAAGGCACCAACAGAUAUGCUAAAUAUUGUAAUCCUUUAUUUUAACCUUUCUGUAAUCCAAUUUAGUAUUUCAAUUCUUAUUUUUCCACAAGGUUGAGUGUUGCCUCGAUGUAAUUAGUUUCCGAGACUGUGACACUACCGACAAUCAUGCAUACACAUUAACUCACUAGAUGAUUUGGACAAGUGAAUCUUUUAUUACGUAAAUCUACACACAACAAGCUUCCUAGGACAUCAGUCCCAUGAUUUAUACAGUGGUUGGUGUAGGAAUAGGCAUUGGGUUUAGUUAUGUCUAUCCAACCCACUUUGAAUGAUUGUUAGUUGGGUACAACUGUAGUGACAUUUGUCAUCAUCUGGUGCAAUCCUGCCUGCCCAUCACUUCAUCCCGAGUCUUUUUUCUCAUUGAGAACUUCUUUGGAGCAGGGAGGGCCAUUCCGGCAAAAAAGGUGAUUUCAGAAAACUUAUUUUAUAUGUUUCCAGUCAUAUUUGUUGAAUUUGUAGUUGUUUGCUAACACCUACAACAAAUUCUUCCUUCUGUGAGGUUUUAGGUUUGCUCUACUUAAUUGAUAUAUCAUUUUCUUGUUUCACUGAACAUCACAACAAUAUUCUAGUUUAACUUGGUCUUGUCCUAAGACAACUAAAGGAAAAUUUUGAUAAAGCAAAAUCGUGAUCACCAGAUUCAUGGUUUAGUCCUUAUUAUUCUUCGUGGUCUUUACAUCUUUCACUCUUUGUGUUUAUGGCCAUGAUCUAUUCACCUAAGUUACAGCAUGCCUGUGGUUGUCUAUGGAUUUUUAAUGUAUAUUGUGUAAAUUUAACUGAUAGUGAAAAUAUCUACCACCAGUGCUAAUUAGAUUUUUUUUGUAGGGUUUUAUAGUUUCUUUAUAACUGUACAACAAGGUAACACUUUUACAAGCAAAUAAAAAUGUUUAAAACCAAAAACUUCCUUAGCUAUGGAGACAGAGGUAAAGACAUAGCCUGUAUUGAUUUUCAAUUGCAUACUGUUUUGUGUAAAGCAUGUGUCAUGCCUAAUUAAUCCCUGUUCUAGUUGUCUGAUUGUUUACCAUUUGUAAAGUAUUCUUGAAGAUUUGUUUUUAUCAAUAAUUUGAUUGAAAUAGUUAUUCGUUCAACGACCUGAAUACAUGCCACUAAAUCUCGAUUAUAGUUAUUGGGAUAACCAGGUCGUGAGGUUAAUUUUAUAACGUUUCAGUACCUUAAAUUUAUUUAUGAGAUGACAUUGGAUUAUUGGGUUAAUAGGCAAAAAGAUCACUGAACUCAUGGCCAAGUUGCAGUUGGGUCAUUGAACUCAAAAAAUUUGCAAACGGAUCACAGAACUAAAUUUAACUUGCAGUCAACUCACUGAACUAAUAAAUACUUGCAUUUAGGUCACUGUGCCGUUAAGUAUGAGUUGACUUUAACAGAAUCCGUUCAAAAAUAAUGAAAAAUUUGAAAAAAAUAUAAAAAUUCGAUUUUCUCAAAAAAUUCUGAAAACUUAAAAGAAUUUGAAAAUUUUGAAAAAACUUUAAAAAAUAUGGAAUGUUUUUAAAAAAUAUGAAAAAUGUAAAAACUUCGAAAAAAAUCUAAAAAUUUCGAAAAAAAAAUUAAAAAAUCGAAAAAAACUGGAAAUUCAAAAAAUAUACCUAAAAUUUUGAAGUUAAAAAAAAUUUCAGCCUUUUUCCCAAAUUUCUAGAUUUUUUCAAAGUUUUAAAAUUUUAAAAUAUAGAAUUUUUAUAUUUUUUCAAAUUUUUUUAACAGAUUCCGUUAAAGUCAACUGAUACUUAACGGCGCAGUGACCCAAAUGCAAAUUUUUAUUAGUUCAGUGAGUUGACUGCAAGUUAAAUCCUGUUCUGUGAUCCGUUUUCAAACUUUUUGAGUUUAGUGACCCAAUUGCAAGUUGGUCAUGAGUUUGGUGAUCUUUUUGCAUGAACUUCACAGGCUGGCCAGUUAGCUCUGUGUUUCUUUUAUUAUCGUGUUAAAAUAAAUUACAAUAUGAGCCAUUGAAAUCCUUGUUUCGCAUCAUUCUCUCUUUUAAAAUAAAGAUUUCUCACGAAACUUGAAGAUGCUAAAUUGAAUUCCAUGAGGAAUGUUAUCUUUGGAAGCAACAUGAAAAGACCAAGAUGUUUUUAUAUGGUUACAGUUCCCAGCAUCUUUAAAAACUCACUAUAUUACAGUGUGAUCAUAUCGGUUUUCUUGGUCACCUUCUCUGCCUCUUAUUAUAUGUUGAUACACUGAACUCUAAGAACUUCAACAACAUCUUUGCCACCUUGUGAUUUAUAAUCUUCUUGGUGUCUAUUAGGUCCUCUCCAUCUGUGCAGUUAAUCAACUAUGACAAUUAUAUUCUUGAGCUUGGCAUUAUUGUAUAAGAACCCUAUAUUUAUAGGAGAAACAAAGUUCGGUUUUGGGCUUUCAGCUACAACCUGAUGCUAGAUCUUUUCUUGCAUUGAUUUUCUUUACCAACAAGUAGUUCGAAAUUAACUCCUUUUUUUGCCUCCAAUUUUUCAGCCUCCUUGCCAUUUUCAUCUAGAAUCUUUUAAUUAUUUAUUCUCCAACAAAGUAAAAUAAAACAUAUAAUUAGUUAAUAAAAUUAAAAAAAACAAAAUCUAAAAUAGAUCUGAAAUAUACUGCCAUUUAAGUCAAUUUUUAUGUACACUCAAUUAACUAAAAUUGAUCUACUUUUAUGCCUUACAUGUCAAUCAUAGAUUCAGAAAACUUCCAUAGGGCCGAGAAAUAAUAUUACUACGAAGAGGUUAUUUCGUAAUGGUGGUUGACAUAUAAAUUUGUAAUUUUAAAUACUAGUUAAUAAAAUAGUUACUAUAUAUCUUAUAUACAAAAUUUAAAAAACAAUAUAAAAUUAUUUAUCUGUAAUAAAUACCUGAGUGUAAAAUAUAUUUAUAAGACUCAAGAAGCUUUAGUAAAUAUGGAUGUUCAAGUUAAAGAAAAACCGUUUUAACAGAAACAAUAAAGUCAUUGUAACAUAAAACUUUAAAAAGAAGAAACAAAUAUAGUUAGCCAUCUUAAAUUUUUAUGUAAUAUCUUGUGUAUUUUGAACAUAUAUCCAAAUAUUAAAAUGAAUUUAUUCUUAUACAGAGGGAAUUAUAUAAAAGAUAGACUUUGAAAAAAAGUAUUGAAAAUUACAAUGUGGAGGUUAUUCCUCGUUAUAACCGGUCUGGAGGUGGGACUGCAAUGGUUAAUUUUAUAUAGAGUAUUGAAAUAAAUAAAUAUAUAUAUAUAUAUAUGUGUGUGUGUGUGUGUGUGUAUGUAUGUAUGUAUGUAUGUAUGUAUGGAUGUAUGUAUAUAUUUGCGUGCAUAUAUAUAUAUAUAUAUGUUAUAUACUUGCAGUUCACUCUUAUUAUAUAUACAACUACUAUAAAUUACUCACUCCGUCUUAACUAAUUCUUGACACUUUCCUUUCCUACACUGUCCCUCUCAAUUCUUUACAUAUGAAAAUUUCUAAAAAUAAUAAAUUUUUAUAUGUAAACGUUAAUAUCACCCUACUUUCACCCCCUUUUUUGAAUCUAUUAAUUAAAUACAUGUUGAUUUAUAUUACCACUUUUCCACUUUCCUUGCCUUUUCCCAUUAUUUUAUACACUUUUCUUAACGGUAUGCCAAACCCAAACCCAAAUAUAAACAAAUGGGUGGGACGGAAGGAGUAAUAAGUAUUACAAAAAAUUUGAAUCAUCUAAUUUUUAAGAUAUUUAAUUGAACCAAAAGUAAAUGUGUUAUUGGGAUUGGGCCAUAGUUUAUGCAUGAUGUAAAAGUAGUGAUCUCUUGUUGAAAUUACAGUCUUAAUAUGCAAGCAUUGAGUGUGCCUCUCAAACAUAUAUAUUCUUCUACAAUCUUACAGUAAUCUAAUGCUUGGAGUGGAAACUGUGAUGGUUAUCGAAAGAGUGCUUUAAGUGCCGCUUCAGCAUGAAGCGAAGUGCGCCUAUUGGGCUUUGCUUUUCUGAAGAGCAGAGCAUAUACAAAAGCCCUCCUUUUUGUGUGCUUAAUGUUGAAGCACAAAAAAGCGAUAAAAAGGCGCUUUGCGUAAAUGGGUGUUUUUCUAGAUCUGGACAUAAUUGAAAAGGUCAGUCAAUGUUUUAUUUUUUAUGGCUAAUUUUAAAGCCAAGCACAUUAUACAUUCUAGACUUUUAGUCAAAAACAAACUCUGAAACACCUAGUCGCCUCAAUCAACCUCUACAAAUCCUCAACAAAGCACUAGUAACUCCCAACGACUACAAAUCUAUCACUGCUAAUUCAAUUUUAUGAGUUUUUUAUGUAAAUUUUAUGCUCAAUAAUAGGGUUACGGAUGAGUUGCGUGUUCUAGGGCUAUUUGGCGAUCCCCUUGAAUUUCUCCAUGAAAUCUUACCAUUGCGAAAAUUAGUAUAGUGGUAGAUGACAAUUUAAGGGCGGUCAAUGUACAGAGAGAGGUAUGAAAGCUUCUUAAUAUUCUAUAUUUCUUUUUAACUAUUUAGAGGGUAUGAUUUUUCAAAUAAUCAAUACUUUAUUUUUUGCUUUAUUGCAGAAGGAGAAUAGUUCAUACUUUGUUGCAUAUCGACAUAAACUUAGUGCCUUCUCUCUUAUAUUUCGAUUUUCUUCUUGUCACCACCCUUUACUAGCAUGUGCCUUUGCAAAAAUAAUGCAAGAUGAGGGAAAUCGUUGUAGUUGUAAAGAUGAAAAUCCAGUGUGACAGCUUAUAUGUAUGAUAAAUAGUGACAAUCAACAUGUGGUAUGUAAGUCCCUACUAUUUUUUAGAGUGAGAAUAAAUUUUAAGGGAAAUGAUUGAGCAACAUCUUGACCGUUCAUUCAAGAAAGUUAUCAUCUAACCAUCGGAGAUGCAAGAUGACCGGAGACAUUUAGACAAUAAAGCUUUUAUGUCCGAAAAGAAAAGGCCCAUCUUCUUCCAAGCAUCCUAAAAGAAUGAAUGAACGAAAGAAGUAAAAUAGAAGUCGAUAUAUAACAAAUUAUAUAUAUAUAUAUACACACACACACAUUAUAAAAUAAUUAAGGAUAUCAUAUUCAAUAAUAAAUAAAUAUUAAAUAUUAAAAGCGUGUGUGUAUAUCAUUUAUGAAGAGAAAGAAAAUAAAAUAAAGUCUAACCAAAGCAAGAUCUUUGGUUAGACAGUAAAGGAAAUAAGAUAAUAUAUAGAAAAUUUAAUUUAAAAAACCUCGAAUAAGCAAAGUGAAAACAUACGCCAUCAAUCAUAGCCACCCAUAAAUGGUACUAAAAUAGGCAUCAAUCAAAGCCACAAUUAACAUUCAAACUGAUUAAAAGAGAUUUAUGACAUUUUUAAAUAAUUUCAAAUUAUUUCCACUUAUACAAAAAGUGAUAACAUCAAUGUAAUAAAGAAGAGAUUCUAAUUAAAAAAAAACUAAAGAAUUUAUACCAAAUCCUUAAAAAUCUAAACAAGACAUUUAUUAAUAUAUUAAUAUAUUAAUAUAUAAUAUAACAAUUACUAAAAAAGAAGGAAAAUUUCAAAAUUCAAAAUAUUAAUAAUUAAUGAGUCAAUCACUAUCUAAGAACAUAUCACAUUAUACAAUUUACCUUUACUGCAAUUAAACUAAUUUAUCAAUUUAAAUGUAGACAAUUAAAAGAAACGAAAUAUUAAAUACAAUUCUAUAAAAUUGAAAACAUAAAUCAUGUCUAAAUUUUAGUCAAUAAUAUCACCACCGCAUACCGCCAGGGAACCACACCACUUACCGUUAUCACAUAUCUCGUAGUAUACAACAUAUUAACGUCUAAAACAAAAACCUAGCUCUAGGCACGGUCAUAUAUUAAAAGAUCAUUGUUACGCCAACAAAUAACAAAAUGCAAUGAGUUUAUUAAAGAAAAUAGUGAUAUUAAAAUUCCGCUGUAUAUAUCUAAAUUACAACGGAUCACAUAUAUAAACAAGUAGGAUUAUGAAUUAGAAAAAAUACACCUUAGUUUUUGUGGAGUAUAUUCACACAAAAUGAUUCUUCAUCGAAUUUGAUGUUUCAAUCGAAUAUUUUUUGUCCAUUACCUCGAUAUUUGACUAUUUCCUCAAUAUAGUUAGUCCGGGUGACGACACAAGUCAAUUACACUCAGAAAUAAGCUCACUAAUGGCCUGUUUGGAUAGGAGCAUUUCAUUUGAAAUGCUGAAUUUGAACCAAAUACCUUGUUUGGAUAAAUAAAAUAUUUGAAUUUGGAUUUGGCCCAAAUCUCAGCUAAUUAAAAUACAAGCCCAGUAUAGCAUUUGGAAAUAACUUUUUAUCUGGUGUCAUUUGAAAUAACAGAAAGCCCAUAGAAACCUCUCGAAAUCUCUCUCUCUCGCGAGUCUCUCUGCUCUCGCUGCUGGACUCUCGCUGCUGGGACUCUCGCGUCUCUCUGCUGGGACUCUCGCAUCUCUCUCGCGUGCUCUCGCUCUCCUCCUCCCUCUCGAUCCCCCAUCGCUCUCCUCGUCCAUUCUCGCUCUGAUUACUCUAAUGAGGUAUGUUUAACACUCAAUUGAUUCAAAACUUUCACACAGAUGAGAUCCUAUCAGCAAGUUUCUCAUUUUCGUUGGUUUUAUGUUGCAGUUCAAGGGGUAAUUCAGCUCAUUCAUCUCAUGGGUAAGAAUUCCGAACACUACUGUUUAUUAAUUUACAGAUGUUUAAUUCUGCUCUUGUUUUUGUAUAUAUUAGAAAUUCGUAACUUAAUAGUGAUUAUGUUGAUAAUUGUAUAUUUUUCCCCCAACUGAAUCACAGAAAUUUAAAUGUCUCGAAUGUUUCACAAAAGCGUUCAAGGGAGGAUGAGGAAAUGGAGUUUGUAAUGUUAGUUAUAGGUUUCAUUCACGUAGUAGUGGCAGCUUGUUACGGUAAGAAUCAUAGGUCGAAGGGGUUGACUUGGAAUAAUUAUGAUCGCUCUCAAAUUAGAGCUACUUGGAUGAAUACAUUAAAGAUUGAUAGAAUUUGUCGUGAACAAUUGCGUCUUGAUAUACGACGGUUCGAGAAGUUAUGUCAUCUUUUGGAAACUAAAGGCGGAUUAGUAACUACGAAACAUGUCACUGUGAAAGAAGUUGUCGCAUUGUUUCUUCACACUCUAGCACAUGAUUUGAAAAAUAGAACUAUACAAGCUGUGUUUGCACGUUCUGGAGAGACAGUGAGUCGACAAUUUCAUAUAGUACUUGGAUCAGUACUCAAGUUGGGGAAGGAUUACAUAAGAAAAGUAGACCAUGCCACUAGUUAUGUCCAUGAUAACCAAUGGAAGUGGUUUGAGGUAAUAUAAAAGCAAAUUCAAAUUCAAUUGCUAAUUAUGUAGUUAAAAUCAUAAGAAAUAUAUUAUGUAUGUAAUUAUUUCACCUGUAAGCCUGAUAAGGUUGAUAGUGUCUCAGCAUUUCACUAGUGAACCUACUUGGAUUGCUUACUGCUUUUUUAUGAAUUGGAUACCUGAUACAAGGCCUAUUUAAUGUUGCUCACGACAUAGUCUGAGCAUUUUGAGAAGCUUAACACCAAUAAGCUGACUGUAUUGUAUCUUUUUGUUUAAUUAUAUAUCUCUGCAGUCUGCACUGGUUUCAUAGUCAGUCGCAUCGUGAACUCUUGUUUUAAGGUAUAUUCGGCUUUAAUGGAUUUGCUCUUGCAGGUAUACAAUUGAUGAUAAAUGAACUCUUGUUACAUAUAUCAAGAGUUUGCACUGCAGAGAUAUCUCACGAAUCUUAUUUAUGUCUGUCCAGAUAGUUAUGCUUUGCUAUUUAAUUUGUGAAAAUCAGAGGCCAUGAAUGUUAACAAGUACUAGACUACUUUGUGAAGAAAUUUCUUUUUGUAUCUUUCUGAAAUAAAUGUGAUGAUACUGUAUGUUUAUGCUUUGCAAUUUUUGUUAAUUCUUGGAUCCCUGAGAUGUCUCUGCUUUUCUUUUCCAGGUCCCGAAGACAAGGAAAACAGCCUAUGGCUCCACCAGCUGAUCAGCCAACCGUACCUGCUCAGAAAAGGGGAUAUUUAGCAUGGACCCCUGAGAUGGACAGCAUAUUAACAUCAACACUGUAUGAUCAAAUUAAUGAAGGAAAUAAGGGUGACGGAAAUUUUAAAAGUCAAGCUUACCAGGCUGUGGUUGAUAAGCUGCGGAUUGAAAAGAGUAUGUUAGUUACUGUGGAACAUGUGAAGCACCGGAUUAAGAUUUGGAAGAAACAUUAUGGUGUGAUUUCUGAUAUUCGAAAUUAUACCAAAUUCAAUUGGGACGAAGAAAAGAAGAUGCUAGUAAUACCGAUAGAAGAUCUUGUAGAAUGGAAAGCUUAUUGUGAGGUAAAUUAAUUUUUCCCUAUUAAAUAUUUUUACAUCUGAUUUUAUGCUAGUAAUACUGAUUUUAUAUUGUAGAUAUAAAAGAGGGUUUUUUUAAUUCAAGUGUUUGCUAUUACAAUGCUAAUGCAAGACAGAUAGAGAAGAGAUAGUAUCGACUAUUACAGUACUUGGUUGUUUUUAUUAUGCAAAUUUUCACACCACUGGAGUCCUUGUACAAGGGUAAUAGAUAUGAAGGUAAAGCUUUGGUUUGUUUUUGCAUUAUAGUUCAACUCUGUAGGAGUAUACAACUAUUGUGAAUAAAUUUGCGGAUAGAUUUCUGUGUUGAUUACAUGUUUAUCAGUCUCAUAUGUGAAGAUGAUAAAUAAGUGUCCGGCAUAGGUUGUUUGAUUUUAUUUUCAGAGAACUCAGGAGCUUAUGAUAGUGGAGUAUGUGUUCUCAAGGCCCUAGAACCUAGUUUACCCUGCAGAGAGAACUCAGGAGCUUAUGAUAGUGGAGUAUGUGUUCUUAUGAUAAAUUUUGUCAUUUUAGGAGAGGCACUUUGAUUGGAAUCAUGUGUUUACGAAAAAUUCAUGGAUCAUUAGCUUGUGUUUGACAUAAACUAAAGCUCAAUCGUAGAUCGUAGUGUACACUUUAUCUUUAUACAAGUUCUUGUGCAAGCUGUAGCAUGAUGCUGCUUGCAUACUCGAGCAUAUUGGUCGAUAUGUUACAAAUCUACAAUCUGAACUAGGAUUUUGAUAAGAAGACGUUGAUCGUGCUUUCCUGGUAUAAAAGUGAAUGAUCAGGAUCAACUAAUUUUGACUUUUUAAGAAAAGCUCUUAUCUCCUGCAGUACUGCUCAAGGUCAUGACUCCAAAUUUUUUUACUUGCUAGGUGUCUCAAGAUUUUAAAGAAAUGAUUUGCUUGACUUUUCAAAUUGAUCAGGACUGUUAUAACAUAAUCUGGUCUUGUUCUGAUCGACUCGUUUGUAAGUUGAUUGAUUGAAUUCAAAUUUUACAGAACAAGAAUAAACCAAUUUCCUUCUUAUAUUGAUGCAAUUUGCUUUUUAUAUGAUAGAACUUGAGUGAACUCCUUGAUUGUGACUGCUAGCAAACCAUACACUUGCUACCCAUAUGCAGUAGAAGUAUUACUUGUACAUGUUCCGUGUAACGCGCAGAAAUGAAACAGAUAUCGCCAAAUGCAACUUCUUACAUAAUUUUAGGAGAGGCAUACUAUGUGUUUACAAUGAUUUCAUGGAGCAUUAGCUUAAAUUUAGCAUGAACUAAGCACAAUAGUACAACUGAGCAUUCACUAUUCCUCUUUGUUUGAGUUUUUAUGCAAGCUGUGACAUGAUAUCCGCAUACUUGCAUGUCAUUCAGUAUGUUGCAUCCAAUAGAAUUAUGUGAUCUUACUUAAAAGCUUGUCGUGAAUUGAAUCUACGACACAAGUUGCAGUUAAUAGAAGUGCUCCCAAAUUCAAGCGGCUGUGCAUACUCUGGCUGCAUUCUUAGUACAUGAACCAGAAGCUGCUGCAUAAUUUACCCUGCAGAGAGAACAGAUACUUAGCUUUUUCCAAACAUACAAGCUAGUAAAAUCAGUCCCAACAGUGGACCAGAAACAACUGUUUUCAAAACAAGACUGAUAAUCCCUGGAUCAUAAAACAGAGUGUUCUGAACAUAAACUUGCACUCCAAGCAGUAUGCUAGUGUAGUAUUGUUUCCCAGAACUUGUCUUUCUUUUGGUGUAUAUCAGUGUUAAAAAUCUAAUAUAGAUCAACUCUGAACUUGGACAGGGAUGUCCAGAUGCUUCUGCAUACCAGAACAAGUGCAUUCAGAAUUGGGAUGACAUAUGUACUUUAUUUGCCUCCGAUAGAGCCACUGGUGAUGGUGCAGAGCAGUUUGAGGAGUCAGCUACUGCCAUGGAGCUAGAAAAUGACAUUAGCACUGCUGAGACGGGUUCGGGAGAAUCAAACAAGAGACAGAAAAGAGAUCGUUUAGCUGAUGCUGUUACCAGUUUCGCAGAGUCAUUUAAAGAAUAUGUGAGCAAAGCAAAAGAGCCUCCAAGACCCACGUGCAAAGAAAUAUAUGAGGUCGUAUCUGAAGUUAUUGGUAUUACGGAUGAUCAAGCUAUGAGGGCUGUCAAGAGAUUCGUGAAUGGCAAAGUUGAUGAGUUUGAAAUGCUUAAAAAUUUGCCGGAUAAUGAGAAAAAGCGAAGCUGGAUCAUGUUGCUUAUUAGUGACUCAUAGUAUUUAGGCGUAUUUUUAAAAUUGUGUAAAAGACUAUUUCAUUGAAUAGUACUAAUUUGAUGUAUUUUUAAUUUGAAUUUUCAAAUGAAAUUCUAGUAAUUCCCAAACACCAUUGGAAUUUGAAAUUCAGGAUUUGAAAUUCUUGUACUUACCAAACAGGAUAUUUGAAUUUGAAAUUCUGGAUUUGAAAUCUAGGAAUUAAAAUUCAUUAUUUGAAAUGAAAUAUAUGAAUCCAAACGGCCCCUAAAUGAAUUUCCAAAAGUUGAUCUGUAAUUAUGUUAAUUUAUGGAUCAUAGGCUUCAUAAAAGAUCCAUGAGUCCAUAAGCAUUAUCCAAAGGCCUCAAACAUUGUGAUGCCAAUCCAGCCCACAUUGAAAGAUUAAUAUCGGGGCAAAGUUGGAUGGACAUGUGUCAUCAUAUGAUACGAUCCCAACCCGUCACCUCCACCCCUCUAUAUAUUUUACCUAUUGCUUUCCUACGGGCUACGGUCCAUUCUCUUUACAUAAAAUUUUAAAGGGCGCCUCCGGUGGGUCAUUUGUGGCGAACAAGAUCGACCCUACUAGUUGUUUCGGUGAGUUCCGUCACUCUCAGAUCUCCAACAAGUAAUUUUUUUCUCUAUAUGGAAUGUAGCUUUUUUUUUAUAAUUGAGUUAUAUAUUACUUAUUUCGCUAGAUAUGACAACAAGAUGUCAAUUUAAUUUGUUUAUUCGGAAAACCGCAGGAAGGAAUUCAUAAUCGAAAAUCAUAUGGUCAUCAUCUUGAUUUAACAAUUACUCCCUCCGUCCCCCUCAUUUGUUUACAUUGGGGGACGGGGGCUUGGCACGCAUUCUAAUGCUAUCGUAAAAUGUAGUUGGUAAAUUAUUUCGAACUUUUAUCUUUUCUGAAUAAAAUUUGAUGUUUAAACUUUUAUACAAAAAAGAAAUUUUUAAUUUUUUUUUAAUAAAAUUAUGUUUUAUAUGCGCCUUAAAAUGCGUGUCGAUCAGUGUAAAAAAACUGUAAAGAAAUGAGGAGGACAGAGGGAGUAAUAUUUAGUAACAGUUUGUGUAUUGUCUUAACUCGUAAGAUUAAUAAUUACGUUUGCAAGCCUGCUAGUUAAUUUGGUACUUCUAUAUUAUUGAUUUUAUAUUUUCUGUUUGUGUUAUUCUACAAUUGUCAAGUCUCUAUGGUUUUCUUUACCCAAAAACUUCACAGUGUUUACUGCUGAUUGUUAAAUAUAACGCAGUGCUUUUCUAUUGUGAAAAUAUAUUUGUAUUUUAUAAGCAAUUGAACACCAGUUGUAGAGAUAUUUCGGGAAGUAACAUAACUUUGAUAUUCUGAUGUACAAGUCCUAGUCUAUAGAAUCUAUAAACCAUAAGUAUAUAAAUCUACUAAUGCAUCUAUUACAGUUGUAGAGAUAUUUCGGGAAGUAACAUAACUUUGUAUUUUUUUUGUACAAACAUGUAUUAUUUUUGUUGUAUAUAUGUAUAUAGAUUAUUCUUUUUUACCCGCAAAAAAGGAAACAUACUUGUAGCUAGCUCCGCAUGAUUGAAAGGGUUAUCAGCUUUUUGGUUUUAGAUCAUUUCAUUUCUCCGUCUAUCUCGUAUGCUCUUUUGGGUUUUCAAACAGAAAUUUUUCUGGAUUUUAAACAUUACAUUUCAACCAAAGGAUGAGGGGCCCCUAUUAUGCCUUUCAUGUCGUCUCGUGUUAAACCUUAAGGAAGCGCGUCCUUACAGUUGAGAAUAAGGGAGAUACGUAAUGUGAACAUCUUACUGUCCGCAGACCCAGUUUUCAUGUGUGAUAUAUUGUGGUUUUCUGGCUUAUAUUGCAUUUUCUAUGUAUUUGUGUCAAUAUUCUUUGCUGUCGUGAGUUAAAAAAUUUAUGUUAAUUUUAUGUUUGUGAUGCUAGUGAAAGUAAGUAGGGUAGGCAAAAAAAUUGUUUCCAUGCUGUCAAAAUAUGGGAUUAGUUGAUUUAUCUGGAAGAUCAAAAAAAAUUAUAGCAGUUGCGAUUUAUUUUAAAUCUUUUAACAGAUGUUCUAGACUUCGUUUCCUCAAAACUAUCCUUUAAUUUUACUUGAAAUAUUUCUACAAACUGUUAACAGGAACAGUACUUGUCUAAAAGCAGCACUAGGGAGCCUCAAGUUAUUUCCAGUCAGGCUUAAGAGCUUUGGAAGUAUCCCAGCGGGAUGGAAGUGGAUUGGAGACCUAACCUUGGUGGGAUGGAAAAGGCAUUUAGCAUGAAUGUGAUGAUGCUGAUUGUUAAAUAUUUUGCGGGAUUCUCGAUAACACACUGGUAACUUUUCUUUAAAUCUGCUCUAUAUUAGUCUUGUGAUCUGUAUCUUUAAGUUUUUAAGUCCUUGAUAUGAGGCAUCAAAUCUUUACUUAUCAUUAGUAGCAAUCGCAAGUUUGGGAGACUGAAGUCACUGAACCUGUGUUAAUUGUUAUUAUACCAAGGCUAAAUGUCCCAAGAAGUCCAUGUAUGCAGCAAAGCAAAGCAUAAGCAUUCCUUUGGAAAAUAAAAGGUUUAAUUCCAAGUUAAAAAUAUAUUAUACUAAACAUGGAUUUUCCUCCAAGUCAAAACUCACAUAGAUUUAAUGUUCUUUACCUUUUACUUUCUGUUUUGAAUAGUUGCCUAUUCAAAUCUUAUGAACAACAAGUCUAUGCAUUUGAAUUAGCUUCCAGCACACUUUAUUAUCUCCUUAUUAUAAGCUGCAGAACUUUUGAAGCGCAGAUAGUGUGUUAUAAGUUUGGGACAUUGUAUACUGUCUUUUUACUUAAUUCUGUUAUCUAUUUUAUAGUUAACUAUGAUUAGGCUUUUGCAUCUACUUGUAAAACCAAAACAAUCCUACUUUUGGUUCUCCUCUAAUUUUUGUCUUAUAUUCGUAAAAAUCUUGUAAUGGAUGACUCUAACCUGAAGAAGAUCUUUAAAAGUAAUGAAUUCCAUUAAUGACAAAGUACUCUGUUUUUCUAUAGAGAAAAAGUCUGAACUUUACAAAGAUAAAAAAAAUAUAUGAAUGGGCAUGUUCAAUUUCGCUUUGUAAUGAGUUCUGCAUUUCCCUAUUUCUGUAAAGGAGUCCUGCACCAGCUACAAAACAAAAAAGAAAACGAAAAGAGAUCUGCAGCAGAUCAAGUGACGGAGUUUGCGGAGCAUGGGAUAGUCUUCCUGAUGAACUGCUCCUUUCAGUUCUAAUGAAAUUGAAUAUUAUCGACUACCUUGCCUUCAGUGGUGUGUGUAGAUCCUGGAGGUCAGUGUCUACCGAUAUUCGCAAAAGUUUUAUGGAGCGUCUGCAACCCUUAGUUCUAGCAAGACCAAGAUAUUCAAAAAAAGCUUGUGUGCUAUAUAAUAUUUUUGACAGGAAAAGUUGCAAGUCAAUGCUUCCAAAUAUGCCUCGCAAAAGCUUAUGGGGUUUAGCAAGUGGUUACUUGAUCACAUAUGACAGGAACAUGGGGUUUUGGCUUGUGAACUUAAUGACAAGACAUGAGAUGCACUAUCCUGUCCUGUCAGAAAGCAGCUAUAGCAUCUUUGACUUCACUCCUCGUGCUGUCCUCUUGCGGUUGACUCGGCUUUCAAGAAUUUUCAUGAUUAUUUUCUCUGAGAAGCAUAAUUUUUUACUGAUGUCUGAAAGUGGCUCUAGUAGUUGGCAGGAAUAUCUUUUCCCAAACACCAGUGCUGGAAUUGCAGAUGUAAAGAUUUGGAAUGGCAAAAUCUUUGUUCUAACCUGUGAUGCACAUUUUGGAGAAUUUAAUCCGAGGGCAGAUCCUGUUCUGAAGCUCUACAACCGUAACAUCCCUAUUCAGCUUUCAUCACGUUCGAUGUUGCAGUUAGUGACUUCAGACAACAAGAUCUACAUGGUUAUAUCUCAUCAUCCUUGUCCACGUGUAACUAUGUUGGUCCUAUAUCUUUCCUUGUACGAACUUGACUACAGUAUGGAAUCUGCAAAACAGAUUAAUGACUUGGGUUCAAAAUCUUUGUUCCUGAGUCCAUAUAAUUCUGCCCUGGUUGACACAACUGGUUGGGGAGCGGGCAACUGUGUAUGUGUUCUUCAAAAUACAAUGGGAAAAUGUUCAUUCUCUCACUUGGGUGGACACUGGCUAGAAACGAUUCCUGCUGUUUGGGAUUAUAAUGUGAGACUAUAUUUCUGGGUUUUUCCUGGUGAAAGUUGGGACAUCAGUUGUGUUGGUGAUGAAUUUGGCACUUGAUCAUUUCCACUUCUGAAAUCUGUUUUCCCGGCCAAAUCUUCGGUUGUAGUUUCAUAUUACAUUCAGAAUAUUUGUAUUCUUUCAGUUUCAUGGAUCCUUUCAUUCAGACUAUAAAGUUAUGAUAUGAUGUGAAUUUUAUAUUAUGCAAGCAAAGCUUUCAUAGCUUUUAAACUUAUUAUUUAAGAGAAGGGAAAAUUAAUUUUAAAGUCCCUGAACUAUAGGUACUUUUUUUUCUAGGUCCCUGAAUUAUAAAUGUCAAUUCACAAGUAAUUCAACUCUUGAUUUUUUCUUGCCUGGGUCCUUCUGUUAAUCUGGUUUGACGUUGUUAGUUUUUCCGGCGAAAUUGGUCGGAAAAGCUCAAAUCAGGUGAGCUCGAAUUUUCCGACGAGGCUAAUAUGAACAUUAAAAAUCACAAAAAUUAUAUGAACAUGCUCAUAAUCACACGAUCUAUCAAUCCACAUCAUUAUAAUUCGAAUAAAAGCUAUCAAAAUGAAAACUAAUAUUCAACUCAAAAUUCGGAAAUUACCAAACUAAAUUUUGAUGGUAUAGAUGGAUAGAGGAUUGAAAAACGAGCAAUUUGAUUACUAAAGCUUCAAAUUUAGAUACCGGAAUCACCUUCAAAAUUAUCUUUGAUUCUCAUGAACUUAAGAAGAACUAACGACGUCAAACCAGAUCUAACGGAAGGACCCAGGUAGGAAAAAAUAAAGAGUUGAAUUACUUAUGAAUUGACAUUUAUAGUUCAGGGACCCAGAAAAAAAAGUGCCUAUAGUUCAAGGACUUUAGAAUUAAUUUUCCCUUAAGAGAAUUGACAUUAUAGUAUAAACAUCUAUUAUUUUUUGUCCUUGUGUACACUUACAAAUAUUAUAAUAUUUUCUAUAUUUUGUUUUCUAUACAGGUUAUGUUUACCGGGGAGAAGUGAGGGGCGUAUAGGUGGUGCCUCUCAAACAGCUCCGUUUUAUUUUUAUAAUUUUUGGAAUUUUUGAAUUAUAAAUAUAAAAAAAUAAGUUACCGAUUUUUAAAUUUUGAAUAUAUUGAUAGGAAAGUUAAAAACUGUCUUUUUCAGUAUUGGAAGAAAAUGUCAAAACUAUCUUUUUUGGUUUUAAUAUUAUUGAAAAGCAGUUUCAAUUUGUAAAAUUGGUAAGUUCUAUUUUUCUAGUUUUUUAAAAUCUUUGAAAUCUAUAUAAUCGAAAAAAAGUUUUAAACUAUAACAUUUGGUUUUUAGAGAUUUUUGGGAAGGACUAUAUAUUUUAAAAGAAGGAUUCAUUGAUGAUAUAUUUUUGCGUUUGUUCAAUUUCGAUUAUAUAUAUGGAUGCCGUUUGUCUUUUUAUUAUUGAAUUAUUUUCCUAUUUCAAAAAAACAAAAGAGUAUGUUGAUGAUGAUUAAUUAUAUAAGUAUAUUGACGAUUGAUUGACGAUAGUGAUGAUAAUUAUUUCCUUUAUCCCUCUGAUUUCUCAACAUUUGUUUUAAGUAUUUGAUAAGCAUUUUAAGGUACAUAUAAAAUAUAGGUUUGAUUUUUUUAAAAAAAUCUUCUCGUUCGGUAUUAAAAUUUCGUUAAAUUUUAUUCAAAAGAAAAGAAUUUUAUAAAAAUUAUCAAACUAAAUAUUUUUAUGAGAGUUUUAAAAUGUGUGUCAAGCCCCAUUCUCCGAAACCUAGAAAUUGAUCAUUGAUCCAAUUUGAGACCUCUGCAUGAUAGACCUCAACAGAAAAUUGAGGCGGACAGAGGUGGGAGUAGUUGAUAAUUUAUCACCAAAAUUGCUUGAAGAAAUUCAAAUCGAUUUUAAAAUUUAUUUAUCUUUUCAUUGACAUUCCUUAUAGCUUAUAAGUUAUAACUAGCGUAAAAGCCCGUGCAAUGCACGGGCCUUCAACUUAAUCAUAUUUUAAACAAAUUAUUUAUUUAUUUAUAAUAAACUUGAAUUAUAAUUUAAUUAGUUUUCUUAUUUUUAAAUUGUACUUUUUUAACCCAUGUAUUCUAAUUGAUUCAUAAUUCAAACUUGAUCAAUAUUAAAUAGUUAAAAUGCUUAACCCAUGUAUAUAUCACUCUUCUCGAUCACUAACUACACUUCUAAAUUAACGACUUUAUUAGUAUACCACUUCUAACUGUUUUUGAUGUCUAAUAAUCACUUGUUUUUAUAUAUACCUCAUUCCGACUUAUCUUUGUAAUCAAACUCUAAGUAUAUAUCUCACAUAGCCUCCCUGAUCUCUGGUUAGACAUCACCUUCAGGGACCCAACCUAAGAAAUCGUUUAAAAAUCUUGUGAAUGCAGGUCUCUGCAAGAUUUGUAAUAUGUUAAUGGACAGCCACAUCAUGCUAUCUGCAACAAAACAUAAUCAAAUACAUUACAGAAAUAAUAAUAAGUUUACAGAAACUUAAAACAUUGCAUAAAAUUGUUUUGAGAUUACAAGUAUUGCUAUAUAUAUUGGUAUUAGUAAAAAUAGCAUUUAUAUAUAAGUCUCACAUCGGCCUCCAGCUCCAGACCUCUUCACCGCAGCGUGUUUCAUUAACCUGCAGCACCAGCAAAAUAUUAAACAUCUUUUAUUAAACGAACAGGCCUUGCAGUAUGUUUGUCUAGAGAGUGAGAGAGGAUAUUUGACAUUCUCAACGCUUUGCUGGUAUUAGGACUAUCACCAAGAAACUGACAAAUACUAAUUUCAGAAAUACCAGCAUGAUGAGCCAAUAUAUUCAUGAUGGAAUCAGCACGUCUGUGCAGGUGAGGAGUACUCUGCCUUGUUUUUUGCUGUAGUCUUGCAGGUCUGUGCUGGUGGUACUUGACAAACACGACGAUGCCUCACUCUUUGUCUCAGAUCCCCAUGAAACUGUAGCCAACUUUCCUCAACUUGCUGCUUGGCAAUCAGAAAUUUGAAGAUUCUUAAACAGUUUCUUUCUCACAACCUGCAACCUAGAAUCCAUUAACAUGCCAUUUUGAAAAAUCAACGUAUCUCUAGUCUUAUCUACAAUCGAACAAAGACAGAUAGAUUUUUUGCAGAAUAUACUUAAAGGUCAUCAUGUAAUUGAUUUUCACUAAGUAGGUUGAAAACUUGAAAUUCAGAUGUAAUACGUUUAAAAUUAGAAUAAGUACGAGUCAAUGUCUAGCAAAUAACCUGUAGAUUAGAGUACAUAGAGAAGAUAUUUAAAUUGGAAAACGGCUCUAGUAUUUGUCAAUGAAAAAGGAUUUUCAUAUGAUAUUGCAGAGUAAGAAUAAUAAAGCUAGAAUUUAUGUUGCUGAAGCAAAAAUCCCGGAGCAUGUCGUGGCAAUCACUGCUACAGUUUUCUAACAGAAAUCGUGCUUAUAAUCUAAACUAAACAUAUUCAAAUGACAAUUCCCUGAAAGUAUAAAACUUAAAAACUAACAUAAGCAACUAUCUGAUGAUCACAACUCAAAGCAAUUUAAGAAAACAGAACACUAUCCAAGUCCUUUAAUUUUAAAAGCUUCAACUCCAGAUCAAUAUAUAUGUACAGAGUACUGUUGUUCCAAGCACAUACACAAAAAAAAAAAAUCUAAGCAAAUUAAAAAUAAAUAAUCUAUCUGCAAUCCAAACAAACAGGAUCAAAUACGACUCUAAACUCUCAAAAUUUUAUUUAGAUGAAUGAUCAAGCAGAACACAAUCCGAGAUUCGCAACUUCAUCCCAAAUUCAAAUAACGAAGUAUACAUAAUACGUGGAUCUGAGCAAAUCAGGCAAAAAUAUUAGCUAAAACUAAUCAAAAGCAUAUCAAAUCAUCCGUAAUUUAAGCUCGCCAACAUAGGGCUGGCAAAAAACUUUAUUGCAAAUCAUUAAACACUGGACAUGUGAAUAUGCGCAAACAUGUGCCAUGUUUAGUUUAGAAGUUUAAGGUUACACCAGUUAAUUGAGUUGUAUAAAAACAGUUCCACAUUUAAUAAGAUCAUGCGGCUCAACCAAAUCAACAUACCAAAGAAGAACAUCUGCACCAUGAGAAUCUUUAAAAGUGACAUAUGCAACUUGAGAACGCUCGGUAUCACUAAUAAGUUAAAAAAGAAUUAGAGAUUUAGUUCGUUCGAAAAACCAUACACUGUAGCAAAUAAAUAACCUUCGUAAAUCAACAUAUUCAAGAUCACCAGAGAAUGAAAAGAACUACUUGAUGUCGUGCUCGGAAGCACUCAAGGAGACAUUGUUGACAGAUACUAUUUUUACCUGACGCACAUCCUAAAAGAGAACUGAGCAAACAAAUAUAUCCAGGACAUGACAAAAUUAAAAAUCAGCGGCCAUAUCGUCUUAUUUAUAUAAAUUAUACAAGUCAUGUACAGAGAUAUUCUAAAACGGAAAGACAUGUCUAGAGUCUAGAGUGCUCCAAUUAAUAGGUGGCAAAGCCCACAAAUUCUUUCGUGGAAUCAAGUAUCCUGCAAAAUGAAAUUUCUAACCGUGUAUACUUUGAAAAAUGAAACUUAAUUUCAUUUUAAAAAAAUAUGAAACUUGGCAAAUGAAAAGCCAGUCGAUAACCGUGAAUAUUAUUUUAGACAAUUGCAAACCGUUCCGUUGAUAUCAAGGCUUUGCUUGGACUUCCCGCAGGUCUUACACAGAUAGUUUAAUCUUGAUAAAUUUAUGCAAGGCCGUCACAGGCUGACGUCUUGUUCCUAUGGAAAAAAUCUGGCUCAUGAAACUCUAAUACUCUCACCCUUUUUAAGUAGUUUGAUGUUAAUGCUGUAAUGAGUGGUUCGAUCUUAUAAGAAUAAAAAACACACAUUUAAGCUGCUUUGGGACGCACAUUAUAUUUAGUUUACAACACAAUGUGUCGUGAACCCAGCAAAAACCUGCACAGAUUUUAUAAUAUCUGUUUGCACUUUUAUUUUAAGGUGUUUGCAUGUAUCUAUAGUGUCCCAUACACAAAGCUCUGGAAUAGCAAUGGUAUUGAACAUGUUCAUAACAUUUAGUCUCUGAAAUCCCAAAAGUUUUGUAAUUUACAUGUAUAUCUUUCUCUUAUGUUCUGCUAUGUAUGGCAACUUUGUAACUCUAGUUGGGAUAUUAAAAAAACAAUAUAUGCUUAUCACUUUCUCCUGUUAUCACAACACAGAAAAGAAGUAAGAAGUAAGAAGCAGAGGGAACUUGCCUCAUCGAUUACGAGAACCCUUAUAGAUUCUAACUUUAAAAUAUUCUUAUUUAACAUCUGCCUCAAGCUCCUCAUUGUUGCAACCACUAUAGUAGGAGGCUCCGCCUGUUUCCCACUAAAUAGGUCAGCAACAUGCUAAAAGUAUAGAAAAGAACGCAUUAAAGGUAUACGUCAUCUUCCUUUUAUGUCUAAUAAGAUCAUCAUCGUCCAUAUAAGCAAACAUAUCUACAGUCACAGUGAUAGAUUAUCAUAAAAAGGUAUAUAACACUAAUAUCGCCUAAAGUGUCUGCUUUUAUAAAUGUGUUGACAGGAGACAACUGAUAACAAAUGCUCUGUGCAUCUUCAGAAAGAAAAAUAUAAAGGAGGUGAUAUAAGCCUUUAAGGGAUAUGUUUCUACAAAUUUCAUUCCUAGUUCGGGUGUUUGAUCGCCUAAUGGUGACAGUGAUUACUCAUCUGCUCAUUUCAAAAUUAAAAAUGUUACCUUGAAUCAACUCUUGUGCCUUCUCAAAAUUCCUCCGUCAAGAAGAGCCAUAACUGUGCAAGGUUUCUCCUCAGUUCCAGGCUUCCCACUUUUUGCAGCAAGAGUAUGAGCAACUUUUGUAACCUUACUUGACAAGAUAGUUCAUCAAGAGAUAAGAAUUUUGGUCCGAACAAUGGUUAUAUCUCAUAAACAUUAAUAUUCAAAACAAACAAAAAUAUAUAUAUACCCGCAUGCCAAGCUCCCUGGUGGGCACAAUAAUCAGUGCUUGCACAGUUGACCUCCAAGUGCUUAAAACUGAGAAUAUCAAUAUUAGAUAGGCGAGGGUCUUCCGUGAACUUGUCUAGUGACCCAAAUAAAGCAAAACAAAACAUUCAUUAAAACUCCAUCAGCAAUUCACCACACUUCAAAACAAAUGAGUUACGCCUACGCAUAAAACAUAAGAGAAAUUGCAAAAUUACACUAUUGCAUCUUUUGCGUACAAUGUUUAUUGUUCAGGUGAGUUUAUAUAAAGGCCUCACAUUAUUCAAGCAUAAAGUUGUACAAAAAUUCAAUCUGUUUCCGUCUCUCAGCUACUCACCACAAUAAUCUGCCUCUGCAUCUACCAUUGAUCCAACUCGUUUAUCUCCACCUUGUCCAGAGACUACUGACCCAAUGAUUGAUCGCCACUGACGAAUGGUUCAUGAACCAUAUUUUGCAUAUUGAAUGUAAGGAGAAGAGGAACAAAUUGCCAUUAGGCUUCCACCAUUUAAGGACUUGAGUCUGAAGUUUUUUCGAGAAACCAUCCGCUGUGGUGAAGAAAAUAUGCAGCGUAAACUCAGUUAAUAUACAAACAAAAAAUGAAUCCCUAUAAGAAAAAAUAGGUUAGUAUAACAAGCCAGGCACCUGGAGUUGAAUUGUGGAUGGAGGAGACGCAGAAUCGCUAGUAGAACGAAGAAUGGCGGCGACACAAAAGCUGCCGGCGGUGCUGGUCUGUUCACAUGUAUUGUUGAAGGAUAGUAAGCUGAUUCAUGGUGCCGCUCAUAUGCCUCAUUGUAAUGUCCAAAUAAAGUAUCAGGUAUAUACAUGUAUAUCAUGCUAAUGCUUGUUUGAUAAAAUUCCUAAACCAAUAGCUGCAAAUAUACAUGGAGAAACUGCUGCAGAUGAAAGAAGAAAAUGAAAAGUCGAUGGCAUUAUAGAAAUUGUGUAUAAGUCAAGGGUAUGUAUGUCAUUUCACAGACAUUUUAUUUACUCUUUUCGCCCCUCAUCCUCUUUUAAUAUAUAGAAGUAGACUAGUUUAGUUCGAUAAUAAUUUUGCAUAUUAAAAAUCGAGGGCUCGCCUCCCUAAUAAAAUACGGAAACUAACGUCUCGGUUCCUAUAUUCACUAGUGUGUGUAUGGGGUUCUCAAAUCGCAGGAGGAGAAGAUGAAAGUUUGGGUCCUUGCCAUGGCGUCGUUUUUUAAUCGGUAACUUCUUUCUCCGUUUUAUAUUUGAGUUGUUUAAUUUUGUUUCCCUUUUCUAUGCAAAUAUAUGUAUAAAUAUCGAUGUUUGUUUGAUUAAGAGUGGUCCAUCAGGUGUUAGAUGGACUAGGCAACCACAAAGCACAUAACCAACUCUGUUCUCUGAACGCGCAAGCCGAACAUCUCAACCAUGCCAAAAUCCAACCAUUUAAUUGCGCUUCAUGGGCUACUGGAAGUAUGGUGAGAUUUGACGAGAGAGGUGGACUCUGGAUAAGGGGACGGGUCAGCAGGAUUGUACCAUGUUAUGACACGUGUCUGUAUGAGAGUACCCUAUUAAUGAUUAUUGAUGGGUUGGCCCGAGAGCUCGGGCUAAGGUAAGGUCUUUGCCAUCUAGAUUGAGGUGGGUGCAUCACUAAUCAUUAUUAUAAGAUGCAUCCUAGUGUCGAUUAUUGCUGGUGGCCCGAGAUUGCUCGGGCUAAGGUCUUUGCCAUCUAGAUUUAGGUGGGUGCAUCACUAAUCAUUAUAAGAUGCAUUUCUAUAGAAGGUUGUGGUGAUCAUUUUAGGUUACAGACUUAGUUUUUGUGGGAUGGGAAGUUUGAGAACUGAGAACUACAAAAUUGCCUCUCCUUCAAACCUAAAGUUAGAUUAGUUUCCAGUGGCAUUUUAAAUAGUUUAUUGUAAUAUGUUUGGUGAAUGCUAGUACAUGUUGACACGAGACUACAUCUCCACACUUAUUUAGCAUUUUAGAAGGCUGUGAUAUAUAGUGAUCACUAUUACGUGUCCAUAAAUUAGGAACAUUGACAUAGGAAGAUUAAGCUUAAUAGAACUUAUUAAC